AUGCACGCUGGCGGCGUGCCUAAUACAUGCAAGUCGCGCGAACAGACGAGGAGCUUGCUCCUCUGACGUUAGCGGCGGACGGGUGAGUAACAAGUGGAUAACCUACCUAUAAGACUGGGAUAACUUCGGGAAACCGGAGCUAAUACCGGAUAAUAUAUUGAACCGCAUGGUUCAAUAGUGAAAGACGGUUUUGCUGUCACUUAUAGAUGGAUCCGCGCCGCAUUAGCUAGUUGGUAAGGUAACGGCUUACCAAGGCGACGAUGCGUAGCCGACCUGAGAGGGUGAUCGGCCACACUGGAACUGAGACACGGUCCAGACUCCUACGGGAGGCAGCAGUAGGGAAUCUUCCGCAAUGGGCGAAAGCCUGACGGAGCAACGCCGCGUGAGUGAUGAAGGUCUUCGGAUCGUAAAACUCUGUUAUUAGGGAAGAACAAAUGUGUAAGUAACUAUGCACGUCUUGACGGUACCUAAUCAGAAAGCCACGGCUAACUACGUG
rnacentral:rRNA from 1 species